ACGGCUCAGUAACACGUCGGUAACCUACCCUCGGGAGGGGGAUAACCCCGGGAAACUGGGGCUAAUUCCCCAUAGGCCUGAGGUACUGGAAGGUCCUCAGGCCGAAAGGGACUUAUGUCCGCCCGAGGAUGGGCCGGCGGCCGAUUAGGUAGUUGGUGGGGUAAUGGCCCACCAAGCCGAAGAUCGGUACGGGCUGUGAGAGCAGGAGCCCGGAGAUGGACACUGAGACACGGGUCCAGGCCCUACGGGGCGCAGCAGGCGCGAAACCUCCGCAAUGCGGGAAACCGCGACGGGGGGAUCCCGAGUGCCGUGGCAACGCCACGGCUUUUCCGGAGUGUAAAAAGCUCCGGGAAUAAGGGCUGGGCAAGGCCGGUGGCAGCCGCCGCGGUAAUACCGGCGGCCCAAGUGGUGGCCGCUAUUAUUGGGCCUAAAGCGUCCGUAGCCGGGCCCGUAAGUCCCUGGCGAAAUCCCACGGCUCAACCGUGGGGCUUGCUGGGGAUACUGCGGGUCUUGGGACCGGGAGAGGCGGGGGGUACCCCUGGGGUAGGGGUGAAAUCCUAUAAUCCCAGGGGGACCGCCAGUGGCGAAGGCGCCCCGCUGGAACGGGUCCGACGGUGAGGGACGAAGGCCAGGGGAGCAAACCGGAUUAGAUACCCGGGUAGUCCUGGCUGUAAAGGAUGCGGGCUAGGUGUCGGGUGAGCUUCGAGCUCGCCCGGUGCCGUAGGGAAGCCGUUAAG
rnacentral:rRNA from 1 species